GACGGCGUAGCUCAGCCUGGUAGAGCAAGCGGCUCAUACCCGCUCGGUCAGUGGUCCAACUCCACUCGCCGUCACCA
rnacentral:tRNA from 1 species